AGACCAUGGUGAGGAUAUUUCCUAAACAAUUCCUUAUAUCUCUCUCACGACUCAUAUCAUGAUUCAUUACCAAAUUGUGAAAAAGUUGUUAUGUCAUUUAUUAAUUU